AAGGCGUAGUCUCCGUGGACUAAUUGGUC
rnacentral:sRNA from 1 species